GACGAACGCUGGCGGCGUGCUUAACACAUGCAAGUCGAACGGAAAGGCCCUGCUUUUGUGGGGUGCUCGAGUGGCGAACGGGUGAGUAACACGUGAGUAACCUGCCCUUGACUUUGGGAUAACUUCAGGAAACUGGGGCUAAUACCGGAUAGGAGCUCCUGCUGCAUGGUGGGGGUUGGAAAGUUUCGGCGGUUGGGGAUGGACUCGCGGCUUAUCAGCUUGUUGGUGGGGUAGUGGCUUACCAAGGCUUUGACGGGUAGCCGGCCUGAGAGGGUGACCGGCCACAUUGGGACUGAGAUACGGCCCAGACUCCUACGGGAGGCAGCAGUGGGGAAUAUUGAACAAUGGGCGGAAGCCUGAUGCAGCAACGCCGCGUGCGGGACGACGGCCUUCGGGUUGUAAACCGCUUUCGCCUGUGACGAAGCGUGAGUGACGGUAAUGGGUAAAGAAGCACCGGCUAACUACGUG
rnacentral:rRNA from 1 species